UGAGUAAUGUCUGGGGAUCUGCCCGAUAGAGGGGGAUAACCACUGGAAACGGUGGCUAAUACCGCAUAACGUCGCAAGACCAAAGAGGGGGACCUUCGGGCCUCUCACUAUCGGAUGAACCCAGAUGGGAUUAGCUAGUAGGCGGGGUAAUGGCCCACCUAGGCGACGAUCCCUAGCUGGUCUGAGAGGAUGACCAGCCACACUGGAACUGAGACACGGUCCAGACUCCUACGGGAGGCAGCAGUGGGGAAUAUUGCACAAUGGGCGCAAGCCUGAUGCAGCCAUGCCGCGUGUAUGAAGAAGGCCUUCGGGUUGUAAAGUACUUUCAGCGGGGAGGAAGGCGAUGCGGUUAAUAACCGCGUCGAUUGACGUUACCCGCAGAAGAAGCACCGGCUAACUCCGUGCCAGCAGCCGCGGUAAUACGGAGGGUGCAAGCGUUAAUCGGAAUUACUGGGCGUAAAGCGCACGCAGGCGGUCUGUUAAGUCAGAUGUGAAAUCCCCGGG
rnacentral:rRNA from 1 species